GUGACUGCGUACCUUUUGUAUAAUGGGUCAGCGACUUAUAUUCUGUAGCAAGGUUAACCGAAUAGGGGAGCCGAAGGGAAACCGAGUCUUAACUGGGCGUUAAGUUGCAGGGUAUAGACCCGAAACCCGGUGAUCUAGCCAUGGGCAGGUUGAAGGUUGGGUAACACUAACUGGAGGACCGAACCGACUAAUGUUGAAAAAUUAGCGGAUGACUUGUGGCUGGGGGUGAAAGGCCAAUCAAACCGGGAGAUAGCUGGUUCUCCCCGAAAGCUAUUUAGGUAGCGCCUCGUGAACUCAUCUCCGGGGGUAGAGCACUGUUUCGGCAAGGGGGUCAUCCCGACUUACCAACCCGAUGCAAACUGCGAAUACCGGAGAAUGUUAUCACGGGAGACACACGGCGGGUGCUAACGUCCGUCGUGAAGAGGGAAACAACCCAGACCGCCAGCUAAGGUCCCAAAGUCAUGGUUAAGUGGGAAACGAUGUGGGAAGGCCCAGACAGCCAGGAUGUUGGCUUAGAAGCAGCCAUCAUUUAAAGAAAGCGUAAUAGCUCACUGGUCGAGUCGGCCUGCGCGGAAGAUGUAACGGGGCUAAACCAUGCACCGAAGCUGCGGCAGCGACGCUUAUGCGUUGUUGGGUAGGGGAGCGUUCUGUAAGCCUGUGAAGGUGUGCUGUGAGGCAUGCUGGAGGUAUCAGAAGUGCGAAUGCUGACAUAAGUAACGAUAAAGCGGGUGAAAAGCCCGCUCGCCGGAAGACCAAGGGUUCCUGUCCAACGUUAAUCGGGGCAGGGUGAGUCGACCCCUAAGGCGAGGCCGAAAGGCGUAGUCGAUGGGAAACAGGUUAAUAUUCCUGUACUUGGUGUUACUGCGAAGGGGGGACGGAGAAGGCUAUGUUGGCCGGGCGACGGUUGUCCCGGUUUAAGCGUGUAGGCUGGUUUUCCAGGCAAAUCCGGAAAAUCAAGGCUGAGGCGUGAUGACGAGGCACUACGGUGCUGAAGCAACAAAUGCCCUGCUUCCAGGAAAAGCCUCUAAGCAUCAGGUAACAUCAAAUCGUACCCCAAACCGACACAGGUGGUCAGGUAGAGAAUACCAAGGCGCUUGAGAGAACUCGGGUGAAGGAACUAGGCAAAAUGGUGCCGUAACUUCGGGAGAAGGCACGCUGAUAUGUAGGUGAAGCGACUUGCUCGUGGAGCUGAAAUCAGUCGAAGAUACCAGCUGGCUGCAACUGUUUAUUAAAAACACAGCACUGUGCAAACACGAAAGUGGACGUAUACGGUGUGACGCCUGCCCGGUGCCGGAAGGUUAAUUGAUGGGGUUAGCGCAAGCGAAGCUCUUGAUCGAAGCCCCGGUAAACGGCGGCCGUAACUAUAACGGUCCUAAGGUAGCGAAAUUCCUUGUCGGGUAAGUUCCGACCUGCACGAAUGGCGUAAUGAUGGCCAGGCUGUCUCCACCCGAGACUCAGUGAAAUUGAACUCGCUGUGAAGAUGCAGUGUACCCGCGGCAAGACGGAAAGACCCCGUGAACCUUUACUAUAGCUUGACACUGAACAUUGAGCCUUGAUGUGUAGGAUAGGUGGGAGGCUUUGAAGUGUGGACGCCAGUCUGCAUGGAGCCGACCUUGAAAUACCACCCUUUAAUGUUUGAUGUUCUAACGUUGACCCGUAAUCCGGGUUGCGGACAGUGUCUGGUGGGUAGUUUGACUGGGGCGGUCUCCUCCUAAAGAGUAACGGAGGAGCACGAAGGUUGGCUAAUCCUGGUCGGACAUCAGGAGGUUAGUGCAAUGGCAUAAGCCAGCUUGACUGCGAGCGUGACGGCGCGAGCAGGUGCGAAAGCAGGUCAUAGUGAUCCGGUGGUUCUGAAUGGAAGGGCCAUCGCUCAACGGAUAAAAGGUACUCCGGGGAUAACAGGCUGAUACCGCCCAAGAGUUCAUAUCGACGGCGGUGUUUGGCACCUCGAUGUCGGCUCAUCACAUCCUGGGGCUGAAGUAGGUCCCAAGGGUAUGGCUGUUCGCCAUUUAAAGUGGUACGCGAGCUGGGUUUAGAACGUCGUGAGACAGUUCGGUCCCUAUCUGCCGUGGGCGCUGGAGAACUGAGGGGGGCUGCUCCUAGUACGAGAGGACCGGAGUGGACGCAUCACUGGUGUUCGGGUUGUCAUGCCAAUGGCACUGCCCGGUAGCUAAAUGCGGAAGAGAUAAGUGCUGAAAGCAUCUAAGCACGAAACUUGCCCCGAGAUGAGUUCUCCCUGACCCUUUAAGGGUCCUGAAGGAACGUUGAAGACGACGACGUUGAUAGGCCGGGUGUGUAAGCGCAGCGAUGCGUUGAGCUAACCGGUACUAAUGAACCGUGAGGCUUAACCUU
rnacentral:rRNA from 1 species